AGUGAACGCUGGCGGUAGGCCUAACACAUGCAAGUCGAACGGCAGCACAGUAAGAGCUUGCUCUUACGGGUGGCGAGUGGCGGACGGGUGAGGAAUACAUCGGAAUCUACUUUUUCGUGGGGGGUAACCGAGGGGAAACUUACGCAAUUACGGCAUCGGCCCUCCGGGGGAAGGAAGGGAACCUCCGGCCCUUGCGCGAUGGAAUAGGCCGAUGUCGGAUUAGCUAGUUGGCGGGGUAAGGGCCCACCAAGGCGACGAUCCGUAGCUGGUCGGAGAGGAUGAUCAGCCACACUGGAACUGAGACACGGUCCAGACUCCUACGGGAGGCAGCAGUGGGGAAUAUUGGACAAUGGGCGCAAGCCUGAUCCAGCCAUACCGCGUGGGUGAAGAAGGCCUUCGGGUUGUAAAGCCCUUUUGUUGGGAAAGAAAAGCAGCAGGUUAAUACCCCGCUGUUCUGACGGGACCCAAAGAAUAAGCACCGGCUAACUUCGU
rnacentral:rRNA from 1 species